rnacentral:rRNA from 1 species
UUGAACGCUGGCGGCAUGCUUUACACAUGCAAGUCGAACGGCAGCGCGGGCUUCGGCCUGGCGGCGAGUGGCGAACGGGUGAGUAAUGCAUCGGAACGUGCCCAGUAGUGGGGGAUAGCCCGGCGAAAGCCGGAUUAAUACCGCAUACGACCUGAGGGUGAAAGCGGGGGACCGAAAGGCCUCGCGCUAUUGGAGCGGCCGAUGUCGGAUUAGCUAGUUGGUGGGGUAAAGGCUUACCAAGGCGACGAUCCGUAGCUGGUCUGAGAGGACGACCAGCCACACUGGGACUGAGACACGGCCCAGACUCCUACGGGAGGCAGCAGUGGGGAAUUUUGGACAAUGGGGGCAACCCUGAUCCAGCCAUGCCGCGUGCGGGAAGAAGGCCUUCGGGUUGUAAACCGCUUUUGUUCGGGAAGAAAACCUCUGGGCUAAUACCCCGGGGGGAUGACGGUACCGGAAGAAUAAGCACCGGCUAACUACGUG